rnacentral:lncRNA from 10 species
UGGGGGCUCCCCUUGUUCUACAUUAUGGAUAUGAUCCAUGGAUGCACAGAGGGCCUUUGUACUUUGCUGGAGAAAAGCGUGCACACUAGACAGACUCAUCUCCCAUGGAAUCUGCUGACAGAUCUCUCUGGGGACCCCUGGGCAGCUAUGUGUCCAGCACCACCAGUGGCUCCCCAUUUCUGUGUCUUCUUAGAAGAUCUGACAACCCAGCAUACCUCUUGCUGAUGUUAUGGAUCUGCUGGCUCUGUAAACUAUAAAUUGGCAAACUAGAUUAAUCAAAGAGGAAGCUUUCUGCAUGUGUGCUAACAGUCCCAACUCUCUAAUCUCACAAGGCACCAAUGUGACACUUCUUGCUAAAGAAUGUGGUUAUUAAUAUAUCUGUCUUUGGUUUUCUUUUCUGCUCUUGGAGUGGAAAGCCCCUAGAGAAAUAGUUCCAAAAAGAAUUUAUAAUAUACUUGCUGGAGAAAUAAGAUUUAAGAGGGCAGGCUUUCACAUCAAAGUUUCAGCAUAUGGUAAUGAAGGUUUCUGUUCAGACAGGUGGAGGAGGAGCUGCCUACAUUUCCUGCGGGGGGUGGAGGGGAAGUAGGCAUGGCGGUGAGUCCUGGGCUCUCAGACUUUGCUUAUCAUAUUGUAACAGCUGACCUUGGUCCCCUUUUUGGCUCUGUCUCUAACCCACAGGUCAGCCUAGGAUGUCACUGAUUCAAUUUAUUUCAAUGUCAGGUUGUCAGAUAUAAUUUACAUACAGUAACAUUCCGUUCCCCCUUUUCAGUAUGCAGCUCUAUACGUUGUGACAAAUGUAUGCCAUUCUAUAACCACCAUGAUGAAGACACGGAACAUUUCCAUCACCUCAGAAGUUCCCUUGUGCCCCUUGUAGUCAGCUCCUCUUCUCAGACCCACCCCAAGCUGGCAACCACGGGUCUGCUUUCUAUACCUAUAGUUUUCCUUUUUCAAAAUAUCAUAUAAAUAGUCCAUAGGCAUUUUAACAGCCAAGGUGCCUAAUAAAUAGUGCACUGUGACUAUCAUUGUUUUUCUUGAAUUAAAAAGCCCACCGUGGAGGUGGGUACGUGGAGCCUCUCCUAACUCCAGCUUCCAUAAGCAG